rnacentral:misc_RNA from 1 species
UCCCCGUUACCGGGGCAGUCUAGCUAGAGAAAUUCAACUAACUAUAAGGGUUGCGCUCGUUGAUGGACUUAACCAAACAUCUCACGACACGAGCUGACGACGGCCAUGCAACACCUGUCACUUGGCUUCCGAAGACACUUUCUCCUUUCGGAGAAAUUCCAAGGAUGUCAAACCCUGGUAAGGUUCUUCGCUUACCGUCGAAUUAAACAACACGCUCCACCGCUUGUGCGGGUCCCCGUCAAUUCCUUUAUGUUUUAAGCUUGCGCUCGUACUCCACAGGCGGGACGCUUAACGCGUUAGCUUCGCUACUAAAAGGGUCGAUACUUCUAACAGCUAGCGUCCAUAGUUUACAGCGUGGACUAC